AUUGAACACUGGCGGCAGGCCUAACACAUGCAAGUCGAACGAGUGGCGGACGGGUGAGUAAUGUCUGGGAAACUGCCCGUUGGAGGGGGAUGAAUACUGGAAACGGUAGCUAAUACCGCCUACCAUAAGAUGAGCCCAGAUGGGAUUAGCUAGUUGGUGGGGUAACGGCUCACCAAGGCGACGAUCCCUAGCUGGUCUGAGAGGAUGACCAGCCAAACUGGAACUGAGACACGGUCCAGACUCCUACGGGAGGCAGCAUUGGGGAAUAUUGCACAAGGGGCGCAAGCCUGAUGCAGCCAUGCCGCGUGUAUGAAGAAGGCCUUAGGGUUGGAAAGUACUUUCAGCGGGGAGGCGUUACCCACAGAAGAAGCACCGGCUAACUCCGUGCCAGCAGCCGCGGUAAUAC
rnacentral:rRNA from 1 species